GGGAGAUUAGCUCAGUUGGCUAGAGCGCACGAUUCACAUUCGUGAGGUCACAGGUUCGAGCCCUGUAUUUCCCACCA
rnacentral:tRNA from 1 species